UACGUAGGCAGCAAGCGUUGUUCGGAGUUACUGGGCGUAAAGGGUGCGUAGGCGGCUUCUUAAGUCUGGUGUGAAAUCUCCCGGCUCAACUGGGAGGGUGCGCCGGAUACUGAGGGGCUAGAGUGUGGGAGAGGAAAGUGGAAUUCCUGGUGUAGCGGUGAAAUGCGCAGAUAUCAGGAAGAACACCCGUGGCGAAGGCGGCUCUCUGGAACGCAACUGACGCUGAGACGCGAAAGCGUGGGGAGCAAACAGG
rnacentral:rRNA from 1 species